rnacentral:tRNA from 1 species
CAAUAAAUAACUAAAAAGUUUUAAAUUUUUAAUUUAAAAAUAUAAUUAAUAAUUAUUUUAUUGA